rnacentral:lncRNA from 1 species
UCUCAGUUAUUGUCACCUACUUUAAUCAAGUGAUUGUUCAUCAUCUUCUUUUAAAUUCUACUAACAAGAUUACAUACAGUAUUUGGGCAUAGAUGAAUGACAGAGAGUAAUAUUUAAGAUUUAAGAAUGCUAGCUAGGCUGGUUCAGAAGAAGAAAAUGUGAAGAUGAGACCCUAACCUAACCUUCUUCCAGAAGAAGAAAAAAUAAAAUAGUGGUUGCAGUUUUGCAGUGAAUUUUCAUUCGAAAGCAAGUGCCAAUGUUGGAAGUUAUUUAGGCCAGGGAUGUUCUUUUGUAACCAAUGCUAAAGGGAAUUUUUCAUUAAUUGAUCUAAACAUGUUUUAAUUAAAAAGGUUGUGUUGUGUGUGGGUUUCUGAAUAAAUUUGUGAUUGCAUAGGGGGUGGAAGAAGCAUAUUUUACUUGGACAUUCCUGAAACAACGAUUUGGACCAUAAACUCUGUAUCCGACAACUAAGAAGUGAAUGACAUACUUGGGUCAGAAGAUCAAAAGGGAAUUGGUGGAUGCAAUUUAGGAUGAUUAUACGUUAGCCAUCAUUCUUCUUUUUCGUAUUUGUCCAACAAUGCUUUGAUGAUUGAAUGGGGAGGCCAGGUGGUUAACUUAGAGCCCCGCGGGCAACACAAUAUUGUUAUGAUAUAGGCACUUUCAUAAAGCAAUCCAAUUGUUAAGAUGU